rnacentral:misc_RNA from 1 species
GUGAGUCAUCGAAUCUUUGAACGCACAUUGCGCCCCCUGGUAUUCCGGGGGGCAUGCCUGUUCGAGCGUCAUUACAACCCUCAAGCUAUAGUGCUUGGUAUUGGGCUCCGCCGCUCACCUGGCGGGCCUUGAAACCAGUGGCGGCGCCGUCGAGGCCCUGAGCGUAGUACAUCUCCUCGCUAUAGGGACCUGGCGGACGCUGGCCAUCAACCCCCCUCUUAGUUUGACCUCGGAUCAGGUAGGGAUACCCGCUGAACUUAAGCAUAUCAAUAAGCGGAGGA